rnacentral:rRNA from 2 species
UGCAGUCGAGCGGACAGAUGGGAGCUUGCUCCCUGAUGUUAGCGGCGGACGGGUGAGUAACACGUGGGUAACCUGCCUGUAAGACUGGGAUAACUCCGGGAAACCGGGGCUAAUACCGGAUGGUUGUUUGAACCGCAUGGUUCAGACAUAAAAGGUGGCUUCGGCUACCACUUACAGAUGGACCCGCGGCGCAUUAGCUAGUUGGUGAGGUAACGGCUCACCAAGGCGACGAUGCGUAGCCGACCUGAGAGGGUGAUCGGCCACACUGGGACUGAGACACGGCCCAGACUCCUACGGGAGGCAGCAGUAGGGAAUCUUCCGCAAUGGACGAAAGUCUGACGGAGCAACGCCGCGUGAGUGAUGAAGGUUUUCGGAUCGUAAAGCUCUGUUGUUAGGGAAGAACAAGUGCCGUUCAAAUAGGGCGGCACCUUGACGGUACCUAACCAGAAAGCCACGGCUAACUACGUGCCAGCAGCCGCGGUAAUACGUAGGUGGCAAGCGUUGUCCGGAAUUAUUGGGCGUAAAGGGCUCGCAGGCGGUUUCUUAAGUCUGAUGUGAAAGCCCCCGGCUCAACCGGGGAGGGUCAUUGGAAACUGGGGAACUUGAGUGCAGAAGAGGAGAGUGGAAUUCCACGUGUAGCGGUGAAAUGCGUAGAGAUGUGGAGGAACACCAGUGGCGAAAGCGACUCUCUGGUCUGUAACUGACGCUGA